UAAACCCUGGACUUGUGACUCCUUACAAGAGUGUAUUGAAUGAGCUCCAACUUGUAAAACAAUGAAUCCUGACAGGAGAAUCGAAAAGCUCUUACUGUAAAAAAACUCUGAAUAAUUCAGUUAGGAUGAGAAACGGUGGACUUAUUACUAGAUUUAUGACUGAAACAUUUUUAUUCUUCGUGGAGACAUUUUUGCACCUGGUCCCAGUCUGAGGUAGUGAGGAGUAUAUGUAAAAAAUAUUUUUUGUCCAGUUUGUCCUGUUUUCAAGGGAUUUUAUUCUUCAGCUCGACCAAAAACAAUUCAGGACUGAAAGGGUUAAAACAACCUAGUCCUAUACCGGAUAUUUUAAAAAGAAAAAAGCCUGUAAAAUGAAUGAGCGUGCAUGACCGGGAAUAGUCACUUUAGUAUGAUAGACUGUAACAAGCUGUAUCUAUCUGAUUAGGCAACAUUUCACUUUAAAAUAAACAGGCAAACCCCAUGGAAAUGCACCUCUGCCAAACUGGCACUGGACACAGGAACACGAUGUGAAUGCCAUGUGUUGAGCCACCUUGCCAGCUCACUGGAGCGCUGUGAACAUCGACGGCACUGCCUGGAGGCUAACCCUGACCAUGGGCGUCAAGCAGAAACCCCCCAAGGCUGGUUUACAUCCCACCCACAAACACACACACACAACACUGCUGAGCCUCCAGAUGAGUUUCAGAACAGCAGUGGAAAGGGUCCUUGAGUUCCACACCCUUGAUUUGGAAUGUUGGUGCUAAUAGUGACACAGCGAAGAAUCAUUUAACAAUCCCCAUAAGAGCCUGGUCUUCUUUUAAAAGCAAUGGCAAGACUGUCUCUCUCAGGAAUAACUACAGAAGGCCUCCACAUGACUGGGGUGCCAGCUACAGGGCAAAAAUAUCAUGUCUUUGAGGAAGGGAAGUGUGCUGCUGUAAUACAGUAUGGGGCCAGAGCAGUUCUGGAACAUUCUCAGGAUCCCUGAAUGAAAAUGAGGCUGUUGUCUGGAGCGGUCUGGGUGGCUGCGCUCGAUGCCCCUCCACAGGCUGGCAGACAGAAGAGGCCUCCUGCUGUGCACUGUUAGUCUGGACUGUAAGUCCUUCACGGAUAUCACGUCUCUGCUUUUCAAUGGUUAACAAACAUUUACAAAGGAACUGAACUUAACAAGCGGAACUGUGAUUUCUGUUUUCACGCAGAAGAUAUUGUGUAAUUAAAACAUUGUUUAUUUUAGUUAUGCCUCAAAAGCCUAAUAUCCCUAAGCCUGUAGCCAGUUUUAGUUGCAGUGGCUGGUGUUGGGAGAUUUGUCGAACAUAGCACAGUUAAAAGCACCCCCCAUCACUAACCUAUUACCAGUGUCCCAGAUUCGGAGCUUCCCCGAGGAGAGGAAUACAAAGUGAACUUUGAGAUUUGGGGCAGGACGAGGUAGAGGUACCUUCCCCCCAGUAGCAGUGCUGAAGAGCUAACCAUGCAGCUACACAGAGGCUGGGGCAUGGCAGAGCGCGUAGGGAUGAAGCAAUUAUCCAUUAUUGAUCACCAGGGCUUGAUUAAAGAUGACUUGAUCAAUUAAUCACCUCGCAUCU